CCUACGGGCGGCAGCAGUGGGGAAUAUUGGACAAUGGGGGGAACCCUGAUCCAGCCAUGCCGCGUGUGUGAAGAAGGCCCUCGGGUUGUAAAGCACUUUCAGUGAGGAAGAACGCCUGGUGGUUAAUACCCAUCAGGAAAGACAUCACUCACAGAAGAAGCACCGGCUAACUCCGUGCCAGCAGCCGCGGUAAAACGGAGGGUGCGAGCGUUAAUCGGAAUUACUGGGCGUAAAGCGCGCGUAGGUGGCUUGAUAAGCCGGUUGUGAAAGCCCCGGGCUCAACCUGGGAACGGCAUCCGGAACUGUCAAGCUAGAGUGCAGGAGAGGAAGGUAGAAUUCCCGGUGUAGCGGUGAAAUGCGUAGAGAUCGGGAGGAAUACCAGUGGCGAAGGCGGCCUUCUGGACUGACACUGACACUGAGGUGCGAAAGCGUGGGUAGCAAACAGGAUUAGAUACCCUAGUAGUC
rnacentral:rRNA from 1 species